CAGCGCCACGAGUGGCAACCGCGAUUAUUGGGCCUAAAGCGUCCGUAGCCGGUUCAGCAAAUCUUUUGUGAAAUUGUCAGGCUUAACUUGACGAAUUGCAGAAGACACUACUGAACUCGAGACCGGGAGGAGUCAGAAGUAUUCUAGGGGGACCGGUAAAAUGGUAUAAUCCCUAGAGGACUACCGAUGGCGAAGGCAUCUGACCAGAACGGAUCUGACGGUGAGGGACGAAAGCCAGGGGAGCGAACCGGAUUAGAUACCCGAGUAGUCC
rnacentral:rRNA from 1 species